AACGAACGCUGGCGGCAGGCUUAACACAUGCAAGUCGAACGGUUGUAGCUAAGUACAGCAGUGGCAGACGGGUGAGUAACACGUGGGAACCUUCCUAGGGGUACGGAACAACUCAGGGAAACUUGAGCGUAAUACCGUAUACGUCCUUACGGAGAAAGAUUUAUCGCCCUUAGACGGGCCCGCGUCGGGAUUAGGUAGUUGGUGGGGUAACGGCCUACCAAGCCUACGAUCCGUAGCUGAUCUGAGAGGAUGAUCAGCCACACUGGGACUGAGACACGGCCCAGACUCCUACGGGAGGCAGCAGUGGGGAAUCUUGCGCAAUGCGCGAAAGCGUGACGCAGCAACGCCGCGUGAGUGAAGAAGGCC
rnacentral:rRNA from 1 species